rnacentral:rRNA from 1 species
GACGAACGCUGACGGUGUGCUUUAGACAUGCAAGUCGAACGAGAAAGCCCUUCGGGUUAGUAAAGUGGCGAACGGGUGAGUAACACGUGGGCAAUCUGCCCCCUCGCAGGGGGGACAACCGGAGGAAACUCCGGCUAAUACCCCGUAAGUUCAAAGGGAGGCAUCUCUCUUCGAAGAAAGGUAGCUUCGGCCAUCCGGCGAGGGAUGAGCCCGCGGUGCAUUAGCUA